rnacentral:rRNA from 1 species
UAGUUUGAAUCUUGGCUCAGAUUGAACGCUGGCGGCAGGCCUAACACAUGCAAGUCGAGCGGCAGCGGAAAGUAGCUUGCUACUUUGCCGGCGAGCGGCGGACGGGUGAGUAAUGUCGUGGGAAACUGCCUGAUGGAGGGGGAUAACUACUGGAAACGGUAGCUAAUACCGCAUAACGUCGCAAGACCAAAGAGGGGGACCUUCGGGCCUCUUGCCAUCAGAUGUGCCCAGAUGGGAUUAGCUAGUAGGUGGGGUAACGGCUCACCUAGGCGACGAUCCCUAGCUGGUCUGAGAGGAUGACCAGCCACACUGGAACUGAGACACGGUCCAGACUCCUACGGGAGGCAGCAGUGGGGAAUAUUGCACAAUGGGCGCAAGCCUGAUGCAGCCAUGCCGCGUGUAUGAAGAAGGCCUUCGGGUUGUAAAGUACUUUCAGCGGGGAGGAAGGUGGUGAGGUUAAUAACCUCAGCUAGUGACGUUACCCGCAGAAGAAGCACCGGCUAACUCCGUGCCAGCACCCGCGGUAAUACAGAGGGUGCACGCGUUACUCGGAAUUAGUGGGCGUAGAGCGCACGCAGGCGGUCUGUCAAGUCAGAUGUGAUAUCCCCGGGCUCAACCUGGGAACUGCAUUCGACACUGGCGCGCUAGACUCUUGUAGAGGGGGGUAGAAUUCCGGGGUGUAGCGGUGAAGUGCAUAGAGAUCUGGGAAGAAUACCGGGUGGGAAAGGCGCGCCCCCUGGACAAAGACUGACGCUCAGGUGCGAAAGCGUGGGGAGCAAACAGGAUUAGAUACCCUGGUAGUCCACGCCGUAAACGAUGUCGACUUGGAGGUUGUGCCCUUGAGGCGUGGCUUCCGGAGCUAACGCGUUAAGUCGACCGCCUGGGGAGUACGGCCGCAAGGUUAAAACUCAAAUGAAUUGACGGGGGCCCGCACAAGCGGUGGAGCAUGUGGUUUAAUUCGAUGCAACGCGAAGAACCUUACCUACUCUUGACAUCCAGAGAACUUACCAGAGAUGCUUUGGUGCCUUCGGGAACUCUGAGACAGGUGCUGCAUGGCUGUCGUCAGCUCGUGUUGUGAAAUGUUGGGUUAAGUCCCGCAACGAGCGCAACCCUUAUCCUUUGUUGCCAGCGGUUAGGCCGGGAACUCAAAGGAGACUGCCAGUGAUAAACUGGAGGAAGGUGGGGAUGACGUCAAGUCAUCAUGGCCCUUACGAGUAGGGCUACACACGUGCU